GAUGAACGCUAGCGGCAGGCCUAAUACAUGCAAGGCGAGGGGUUCGCAAGAACACCGUCGUACGGGUGCGUAACGCGUUUGCAACCUACCUAUCACAGGGGGAUAGCCUUUGGAAACAGGGAUUAAUACCGCAUAAAGCAGGGGCUCGGCAUCGAGAUACUGCUAAAGAUUUAUCGGUGAUAGAUGGGCAUGCGUCUGAUUAGUUAGUUGGUGAGGUAAUGGCUCACCAAGACGAUGAUCAGUAGGGGGCGUCAGAGCGUGGUCCCCCACACUGGCACGGAGAUACGGGCCAGACUCCUACGGGGGGCAGCAGUAGGGAAUAUUGGGCAAUGGAUGCAAGUCUGACCCAGCCAUGCCGCGUGAGGGAAGAAGGUCCUCCGGAUUGUAAACUUCUUUUGUCGGGGAAGAAGAGUCCUCUUGCGAGGGGAUGUGACGGUACCCGAUGAAUAAGCCACGGCUAACUACGUGCCAGCAGCCGCCGUAA
rnacentral:rRNA from 1 species